UACGAGGGGGCGAGCGUUGUUCGGAAUUAUUGGGCGUAAAGGGUGCGUAGGCGGUUCUGCAAGUCCUGUGUGAAAUCUUCGGGCUCAACUCGAAGUCUGCACGGGAAACUGCGGGGCUUGAGUGUGGGAGAGGUGAGUGGAAUUCCCGGUGUAGCGGUGAAAUGCGUAGAUAUCCGGAGGAACACCAAUGGCGAAGGCAGUGUCCUGGGAAGUACCUGACGCGUCAGGUGCGAAAGCUAGGGGAGCCGAACAGGA
rnacentral:rRNA from 1 species